rnacentral:rRNA from 1 species
UACGUAGGGAGCGAGCGUUGUCCGAAGUUACUGGGCGUAAAGCGCGCGUAGGCGGGUUUGAAAGUCGGAGGUGAAAUGCCUGGGGGCUCAACUCCAUGCAGUGCCUCCCGAUACUUCAAGUCUUGAGUGCGGUAGGGAGAAGGUGGAAUGGCUGGUGUAGCGGUGAAAUGCGUAGAUAUCAGUCGGAACACCGGUGGCGAAGGCGG